GAGGAGUUGAGAUGGACACGU
rnacentral:piRNA from 1 species